GUCAAUCACCUUCAAACAAACGUUGAAUACCAGGCCCCCAUAUCCUCUUUUCAUCCACAGCCAGGUAGGGGUAUACCGUGGAGGGUAGUACUAAUGUCUUAGGACUUUUAUGCCGCCAUCCCAAAGUCAGUAUAUCCCAUUUGACCUUCUGACAAACACAAACCGAAAGAGUCAGGGAGUUAGGCUCCAACCUGUCUUAAUUGAAGACGUCAAUCAUCGUCACAGACGGCGCCUUUAUCAGUGAGAAAUAAUCUCUCGAUUCUUGAAAUCAAUGAAAAUCUGCACACAAAUAUUAUGUUACGAUUAGUUGUGAAUAGUUGAAUGUUAAUUAUUUUAUCAGGACAAUUCUAUUUGUGAAAUACCCUAUAUAUAGUUCCAAUCGAAUAGACAGCCGACUCGUGAAUUUUUUUGAAAGAAAAAAGUGAACGUUUUUUCACCGUCAGUCCGCUCUAUGACAUUCGCGAGAGAAACUGAGUGAUAACGUCAGGAAGAGUUGAUUUUAGGCAAAUUCUGGUUUUCUAAUAUGAAACUACGUCUUUGAUGGAUAUAAAGCUGCCGUGCCUUGUUGUGAUAUUGUGAUUGAGUAAUUCUGCUGUGGAGCGAUCUUGCAAUAUCCUUAAUUAUCGAUUGGGAUGAAUGAUCGAAUGAAUUAUUUCUUCUGGACUGCCUUAAAACAUUUCCGACAAUGUUAGGGUAGUCGAGCAUUGGGAGAUGUUUUUCUCAGUUAUGGUAAAUCGAAAUUUCGCCCGAACAGUGCUACCUUUGAGAACACGGCGAAAUGAAUGGGAGCACACAUGAAUAUGGAUAUACAAUAUGGAUAUACACAAACAUAAUACGAGACAAAAAAGUAACAUCCGAAUAAAAAGGACGAGGCUGAAUAUUUCCUCAUUUGCUCCUAAUGUAUUGGGCCCAAAAAUGUUUUAACAUUCUACAAAAGGAAAUAAGGUCUUGUGACUUCGUACUACUCUCCUGAUGAAUUUUUAUUAUUCGAUAACGUAUGAAACACCUAUACUUCUAUUUUGAUAAACAUUUUAUUGUAUGUUUUCAUAACUUUCCUUGAAUUGUUUACAGUAUAUUCAACACAAACUGACUAUUCCUAUACAUGUAAAUGUCACAAGAAAAGAAAACUGAUUGAUUGAAUGAUGAUUGUUUCCGAAAGUAAUGAACCUCGCUAAAUAGGUGUUUACAUAUGGUUUUGUCUGUGCCUUUGUAUAAGCGUUUCAUU